UUAUUAUAAACACGUGUUCCAUUUAUAACAGUGCUCACUCUCCCCCAGUCUUUAUUUCUCUUAUCGUUUUCUCUCACUGUCCUAGAUCUAGGGUUUAUGUGUCUCUCCUCAGUCUCCUUGAGAGAUUCACCAGAGGAAGAUAGACCAGUUGAGUGAAGAAGGAUCGAGAUCAGUGGGAUCAAGACAGGAACCGGGACCGAGAUCGGUCCAGUCGGAGCAAGGGGAGGAGAGGAGAUAAGUUGAUUCACAGGAGUAAUAGAGAAGAUGGUGGUGAGGACAGUUCAGAGGAGAGCGUGAAUGAUGAGGAGGACGAUGACGAUAACGAUGGAGUCGCCGCCACCGCCGCGGUGAGGAUGUUGCCGCCUAAUCCAACGACGUCGAUGUCGUCUUCAUUACUAAACCACCACCAUCAGCACCGGAAGAGCUUUCCUCUGCAACUACAAAAUCGUCGAUGUCGUCGAUAUCAUCUUCAAUGAUGAUUAUGCGGCAGAUGAUGAGGAAUAUGAGGAGAAGUCGAAGAAAGAGAGUUUGGCAUUUUUCUUUUUAGCUAUAUAUGAAAAUGGUGAGCCAACGGACAAUGCUGCAAGGGUAAAGAGAGAGGGGAAUGGCUUCAGAAUCUUACUUAUGGAGUGUUUGGCCUUGGCAAUAGACAGUAUGAGUACUUUAAUAAGAUAGCAAAUGAGGUGGACGAGCACCUCGCUGAGCAGGCAACAGGUAGGUUGGUCCGAUGGCAAUGGAGGCUGAAUUUGGAAUUUCUACUCCGCGAAACCCUUCUCAGGGUAUAAAUUCAAUAAGGGAAUCUGCACAAGUCUAGUUUUGUUGUCACUACUAGUUUUGAAAAGGAUUACUUCUGUGCCUGGGAAAAAAAGAAAGACAAAACUAGAAAUGGAAGGAGUUCAGCAAAAAGGAAGUCUUGUUCGAUAUGGAUUUUUAACAUCAGCUAGUUCAGUGGCUAAACAACAAUCAAACUACAAAGAAUUGAACAUUUUAUAUGAAAAAUAUAAAGAUUAAGGUCUGUUAGUUAUUCAACUCCAGUUAUUUGUAUGUUUCCUUUCUAUAAUUUCAAAGAGUUUGAGGGGUCUUAAUCUUAGGAAUCAACUAAUGCAAUGGAAAAGGUCGGAGGUAUGCUUUUUAUGCUUCCAUGAAUGUCUCAUUCAGCAUCAUGUGUUUCCUUAGCAUGGUUGUCAAUAUUACUAAGGUAUACUGAUGGUUCACUACUGAUGGAGAACAAAAAGGAGUUGGUUGAAAAAAAUGGAAGAUUAGAAUUUUAGUUUAUUUGUGAAUUUUAAUUUAUUAAUGAAGUUGAAUUUGUUUAGGAUUUUAUUUUUAGUUUAUAUUUGUUUCCUUAUUGGAAUUUAUUCAUUUGGUUUGCCUAUAUAUUGCUUUGGAUGAACUGUUACAUCUAGAAUUAAAAAUUGUUUAUGAAGAUGCUGAUAAAAUUUUGAAAUUAAAAAUUCUUUUGCUGUGUUGUAGCAUUCUGGUAAUUGCUUUUUUGUACAUGGAUUUUUAUGGAAUGGACCAAAUGAGGGGUUUUGGUUUUCCUUAUUUGUUUUGAAUUGUUGUGUUUUUUCAGUGCCACUGUUUUGUCAAAGUUGGGUACUCAUGAUCAUGUCAUUGGCAAGAUGGAACCAAAUUAUUGGUGCUUGGAUGGAUGAGUUGGAUGAUGGUUUUAUAAAGAUGUACUUUGAUGGUAUUUUUUGUACGAAUGAUUGAGAUAAUUUUUAUGCACUAUUUCCCCAUUUCCGUAUAAUGUUUUUAUGGAUGUGUUUGAUUACAAUAUAUUAAAUAUGUAAAAAUUGUGAUCUUGUGUCAUGCUAUAUUUCAAGUUGCGUUCUUUGUUAAA